GAUGAACGCUGGCGGCGUGCCUAAUACAUGCAAGUCGAGCGAACAGACGAGGAGCUUGCUCCUCUGACGUUAGCGGCGGACGGGUGAGUAACACGUGGAUAACCUACCUAUAAGACUGGGAUAACUUCGGGAAACCGGAGCUAAUACCGGAUAACAUGUUGAACCGCAUGGUUCAACAGUGAAAGACGGUCUUGCUGUCGCUUAUAGAUGGAUCCGCGCCGCAUUAGCUAGUUGGUAAGGUAACGGCUUACCAAGGCAACGAUGCGUAGCCGACCUGAGAGGGUGAUCGGCCACACUGGAACUGAGACACGGUCCAGACUCCUACGGGAGGCAGCAGUAGGGAAUCUUCCGCAAUGGGCGAAAGCCUGACGGAGCAACGCCGCGUGAGUGAAGAAGGUCUUCGGAUCGUAAAACCCUGUUAUUAGGGAAGAACAAAUGUGUAAGUAACUAUGCACGUCUUGACGGUACCUAAUCAGAAAGCCACGGCUAACUACGUG
rnacentral:rRNA from 1 species